rnacentral:rRNA from 1 species
AUUGAACGCUGGCGGCAUGCCUUACACAUGCAAGUCGAACGGCAGCACGGGAGCAAUCCUGGUGGCGAGUGGCGAACGGGUGAGUAAUAUAUCGGAACGUGCCCAGUCGUGGGGAUAACGUAGCGAAAGCUACGCUAAUACCGCAUACGAUCUAUGGAUGAAAGCGGGGGAUCGCAAGACCUCGCGCGAUUGGAGCGGCCGAUAUCAGAUUAGGUAGUUGGUGAGGUAAAGGCUCACCAAGCCGACGAUCUGUAGCUGGUCUGAGAGGACGACCAGCCACACUGGGACUGAGACACGGCCCAGACUCCUACGGGAGGCAGCAGUGGGAAUUUGGACAAUGGGCGCAAGCUGAUCCAGCAAUGCCGCGUGCAGGAUGAAGGCCUCGGUUGUAA